rnacentral:rRNA from 1 species
UAGUUGACGACGUGUGUUCAGUGAAAUCGAGUAGGGCGGGACACGUGAUAUCCUGUCUGAAUAUGGGGGGACCAUCCUCCAAGGCUAAAUACUACUGACUGACCGAUAGUGAACCAGUACCGUGAGGGAAAGGCGAAAAGAACCCCUGUGAGGGGAGUGAAAUAGAACCUGAAACCGUGUACGUACAAGCAGUAGGAGCAGGCUUUGUCCUGUGACUGCGUACCUUUUGUAUAAUGGGUCAGCGACUUAUAUUCAGUGGCAAGGUUAACCAUCUAGGGGAGCCGUAGGGAAACCGAGUCUUAACUGGGCGUUCAGUCUCUGGAUAUAGACCCGAAACCAGGUGAUCUAGCCAUGGGCAGGUUGAAGGUUGAGUAACAUCAACUGGAGGACCGAACCGACUAAUGUUGAAAAAUUAGCGGAUGACUUGUGGCUAGGGGUGAAAGGCCAAUCAAACCUGGAGAUAGCUGGUUCUCCCCGAAAGCUAUUUAGGUAGCGCCUCGGACGAAUACUACUGGGGGUAGAGCACUGUUAAGGCUAGGGGGUCAUCCCGACUUACCAACCCUUUGCAAACUCCGAAUACCAGUAAGUACUAUCCGGGAGACACACGGCGGGUGCUAACGUCCGUCGUGGAGAGGGAAACAACCCAGACCGCCAGCUAAGGUCCCAAAUUACUACUAAGUGGGAAACGAUGUGGGAAGGCUCAGACAGCCAGGAUGUUGGCUUAGAAGCAGCCAUCAUUUAAAGAAAGCGUAAUAGCUCACUGGUCGAGUCGGCCUGCGCGGAAGAUGUAACGGGGCUAAGUAGUAAACCGAAGCUGCGGCAAUGCACUUUGUGCAUUGGGUAGGGGAGCGUUCUGUAAGCGGUUGAAGGUGUGUGGUAACGCAUGCUGGACGUAUCAGAAGUGCGAAUGCUGACAUGAGUAACGAUAAAGGGGGUGAAAAACCUCCUCGCCGGAAGACCAAGGGUUCCUGUCCAACGUUA